UGGGGAAUAUUGCACAAUGGGCGCAAGCCUUAUGCAGCCAUGCCGCGUGUAUGAAGAAGGCCUUCGGGUUGUAAAGUACUUUCAGCGGGGAGGAAGGGAGUAAAGUUAAUACCUUUGCUCAUUGACGUUACCCGCAGAAGAAGCACCGGCUAACUCCGUGCCAGCAGCCGCGGUAAUACGGAGGGUGCAAGCGUUAAUCGGAAUUAAUGGGCGUAAAGCGCACGCAGGCGGUUUGUUAAGUCAGAUGUGAAAUCCCCGGGCUCAACCUGGGAACUGCAUCUGAGACUGGCAAGCUUGAGUCUCGUAGAGGGGGGUAGAAUUCCAGGUGUAGCGGUGAAAUGCGUAGAGAUCUGGAGGAAUACCGAUGGCGAAGGCGGCCCCCUGGACGAAGACUGACGCUCAGGUGCGAAAGCGUGGGGAGCAAACAGG
rnacentral:rRNA from 1 species